UUUAGCCUACAAUUUGGGCUCACAAAAUAAUAAGAAAAAUGAGGCCCAAUUUGAGAUAGGGUGGCCGGCCAAGAGGCCUUUGGCCCAAGCCCACCAAUUAGUCAUGUGACUAAUUAUAUUAAGAGAUAAGACUUCAAGAAACUUCAAGAAAAUUCAAGCAAAAACAAGAACAAAAAAAAAAGAGAGGGGCAAUCGGCCAAAGAGGAAGAGAAAGAGAAAAAGAAAAGAAAAUUUCUUGGAGCUAAAUUCUUGGUUCAAAAAUCCAUUUCUUGUGGGAUUAUUACUAAGUGCAAGAUUCUCUACAACUUGGUACAAUUAUUUUGGCAAGAAACUAUCUUUGGUAGCAAGGAGAAUUUGUUGGUAAAAAGAUUCUGGACGAGAUUGGAAUCGAAGCCAAGCGAGCGUAAGGCGCAAUCGAGGUACAGACGCACCUGAAGAUACGCCGCCAGUCUAGG